GACGUAGGGCGCGAGCGUUGUCCGGAUUUAUUGGGCGUAAAGAGCUCGUAGGCGGCUUGUCGCGUCGUCUGUGAAAUCCCGAGGCUCAACCUCGGGUCUGCAGUCGAUACGAGCAAACUAGAGUGUUGCAGGGGAGACUGGAAUUCCUGGUGAUAGCGGUGAAAUGCGCAGAUAGUCAGGAGGAACACCGGUGGCGAAGGCGGGUCUCGGGGCAGUAACUGA
rnacentral:rRNA from 1 species